UUGCUCCACCGGAAAAAGAGGAGUGGCGAACGGGUGAGUAACACGUGGGUAACCUGCCCAUCAGAAGGGGAUAACACUUGGAAACAGGUGCUAAUACCGUAUAACAAUCGAAACCGCAUGGUUUUGAUUUGAAAGGCGCUUUCGGGUGUCGCUGAUGGAUGGACCCGCGGUGCAUUAGCUAGUUGGUGAGGUAACGGCUCACCAAGGCCACGAUGCAUAGCCGACCUGAGAGGGUGAUCGGCCACAUUGGGACUGAGACACGGCCCAAACUCCUACGGGAGGCAGCAGUAGGGAAUCUUCGGCAAUGGACGAAAGUCUGACCGAGCAACGCCGCGUGAGUGAAGAAGGUUUUCGGAUCGUAAAACUCUGUUGUUAGAGAAGAACAAGGAUGAGAGUAACUGUUCAUCCCUUGACGGUAUCUAACCAGAAAGCCACGGCUAACUACGUGCCAGCAGCCGCGGUAAUACGUAGGUGGCAAGCGUUGUCCGGAUUUAUUGGGCGUAAAGCGAGCGCAGGCGGUUUCUUAAGUCUGAUGUGAAAGCCCCCGGCUCAACCGGGGAGGGUCAUUGGAAACUGGGAGACUUGAGUGCAGAAGAGGAGAGUGGAAUUCCAUGUGUAGCGGUGAAAUGCGUUGAUAUAUGGAGGAACACCAGUGGCGAAGGCGGCUCUCUGGUCUGUAACUGACGCUGAGGCUCGAAAGCGUGGGGAGCAAACAGG
rnacentral:rRNA from 1 species